rnacentral:lncRNA from 1 species
GCGGGCCCCCCGAAGCUCUGUCCACCAGGCCGAGACUGCUGACUCAGGCCAGCCACAGAGGGGACAGCACACAUCCUCGGCCAAGUCAAGCGUUCGAGAGAAUGGAUGACCUGAUUCCUUAUGCAACCGGAAAAGGGCAUGGAAGCAGCAGCAGAAACAUGGAUCGCCCUCCCACCCCCUACCUGGUUUCAUUUGGAGUUUUGUACUGGGUGCUACCAGCCCGCUCCUAGUCCAGCCCUGAUGGGAACAGAGGGGAACUGCAGCCACAAAGCCCAGCACUGCUGUGCCUGAGAGCAGAAAGGAUGACGGGAGCAGCGAGGCUCAAAGUCCCUGGAUCUGCAGUGCCACCUUUACCUGGGAACUUAUUAGACAUGAAUUCUCUGGCAUGGACCCACAUCUGCUGAAUGAGAAGCUCAAGGCGUGAGGUCCAGCACUGUAUUUUAACAAGAUCUCUGGGUGACUCUAAUGCAUGCCCAAACUUGAGAACCAUUUGAACAAAGCUAGAUUUGCUGUGGUAAAAACAAAAAACAAAAAAGCCCUAUGCUCAGUGGAGUAAAACAGCACAGGAAGAGUUUUUCCUCGUGCUACUUGUCCGCUAGGGGUAGGAGGAGGACUUUGCUCAUCACAGCACUCAGGCACCGUCUGGAAAUGGACUUAAAAGUUUACAACAAGCGAAGAAACAUUCAUUCAAAAAACUCUACUAAAACUUGUUAAGAAGAGAGUCUGUGGUGUUUAAAUAAGAUCCCCCCACCCUGACCCCCACUUCAGCAGGAUGGAACUUCCAUUCCAGGCUGGUGCAGCCCAGCACAGAGAGGUCCUGUCACUUUAGCUCCCAGGCAGGGGGCUGUCUUCCCAGAAGGGGCAGGGCAUCAACAUUUCUCAGGGCAUCAACAUUUCUCACCCUGGCUACCUGGUGCUGAGGCACUGUUCUGGGCAAGUGCGGCCAGCUUCCACUCCACCAUGGUUAUGGCACCACUGAGAAUAUUGGGCUCCAAUCCCCUUGCCCUGGCUUGCUAGGCAGAGGUUUCAUCCUGAAAGAAGACUUGAGGCUACUGCCCUUCCCCACUCAGCACUCACCUCCUGAAGCAGGGUUGUUACUCCGAGAGAAGCAUACUCCUGUCCCUAGUUCCAGCUCCAGAGUUAUGGCACAGAAAUUUUGCCAAUCUCUUCCCAAAGGAAUUGACUUCAUUUGUAGCAAAGUGUGGAGAAGCUCAAGCCUAGAGGUGCUUUCAAAAACAGUGGAGUUUGUGGUAGAAUGCAAGUGGGAAGAGAUUGGUAGAUUCAUUGGAGAGGUAAGCUAGCUAGUUUGUCAGAGAGAACCAGGCAAAGAGACAAUCGUAAGGAACCCUUCUGGGGUCAAAACGAAUCUCAAACACUGACCUGAGUAACUAUCCCUUCAAAGGAGUCCUUAUUUGAUUGGAUUAUGCCACAGGGCAUUGUUGUAAACAAUAGUGCAACUACCACUUAGAGGAUCUUAAGAGAUGGAUAUGGUCAGGGAAAGAGACAGUCAAAGACAGUUCUGCCAAAACCACUGUCAUUCCACAGUGAGUGUGGGCACAUCCAAGGCUUCACCCCUGAGGAGCAAUGCCAGAGGCUACACAUUAAGGAGAGAAGGUAGAAGAGACUUUAUUCAAUAAUCCAAUCAUUGGGAGUUCCCACUGUGGCUAGUGGUUAACAAUCUGAAUCUGACUGGAAACCAUGAGGUUGUGGGUUUGAUCCCCGGCCUCACUCAGUGGGUUAAGGAUCCUGCGUUGCCGUGAGCUGUGGUGUAGGUUGCAGAUGUGGUUCGGAUCCCGUGUUGCUGUGGCUCUGGCGUAGGCCGGUGGCUACAGCUCCGAUUCGACCCCUAGCCUGGGAAUCUCCAUAUGCCGCGGGAGCGGCCCUAGAAAUGGCAAAAAGACAAAUAAUAAUAAUAAUAAUAAUCCAAUCAUUGUACAACUAUAAGUGUAAUAAAACUGAGUUAAAAAAA